AUUCAGUGUUGCAUUAAUUUUUCACCAAGAUCUUCCUUUGAUGAUGGUAGAAUUCAGAUUACAAAUUCAUUCAGAUCAAGCUGAUCAGGGUGUUUGCAUUUUUAUUUUGAAUGGCUGUUUAAUCUGAUAAUUGUGUCCCUGUAAACAUAGCUUGGGAGACCACUCCCUGAACAGUUCAGUGUUGACUAGUUUAGUUUUUGUUGUCCUUUGUUUGGUACACUCAGUGUGACCUGUAAUGUUUUAUUCUCUUUUACAGUCUUUGCCGUCUAUAAGCUCAGAUCUAGGCCUCGCUGAAUUCACCAAUAUUUACUAAAUGUGUUGCUAGAGCCUCCAGGAGGUGACUACUUGCACAUGUUCUGACCUCCACAUGCUCAUGGUGCUGAGGUGAAUCUACUGCAGCCACAUACAGCCCUGCGUCUGGACAUACAUCCAGCUUUGAACACAGUUCAUUCUCUCUUUCUGAAGAUUUUUUUCUCUGGAUCCAUGGCAUUUAGGAGCUCCAUGAAAGAUGCACCGGACCUUCUGAAAGCUUCUCACCAGAUGUGGGACGUUUAGAAUGAAGAACAGCCUUUUGUCUGGUCUUGCUACAUGUUGGACAUGUGUUUUAUUGUGGCUCAUUCUAAAAGCUGAAGAAGAAAAAAAACCUAGUUGAGCUCACUGAAAAAAGACAGAGGAAGUUCUUCUCAUGUCAGGAUCUUUCCUCCUCCUUGGUUCUGGGUGAUGAACAAACAGGGUUGGAGCAGCAUCAGCCUUUAGUCUAAUUUGGACAGUCUGUCUUUGGGAUCUGUCCUUCCACAAAUUGUGCCUGCAGUGAUUUAUAGUUUAUUUCUUUACACACUUAAUUGGGGCCUGGUGCAUUUGACAGUAAAACAUUUUGAGCCCUGGUUAAAAUGUUGAGUGCAGAUUAAACUUAAAGCACAGUUUGUUGUUAUUUUGACCUUUAUUGAUGCAGGUAUGACUAAACACUAAAUGUUAAUAAAAGUACUUUUUAAAGUAAUUAAACACUAUUUCAUUACAAAAUGUUUGGUUAUUUGUUUUUUCAGAAUUGAGACACACUUUGUCAUGUAAUAAGAUCUUAAAACACUUUUGUUCAAAUUARCAUUUUAAUAAAUUACUAUUUCACAACA